rnacentral:rRNA from 1 species
AACGAACGCUGGCGGCAUGCCUAACACAUGCAAGUCGAACGAGACCUUCGGGUCUAGUGGCGCACGGGUGCGUAACGCGUGGGAAUCUACCCUUGGGUUCGGAAUAACUCAGAGAAAUUUGAGCUAAUACCGGAUGAUGUCGCAAGACCAAAGAUUUAUCGCCCAAGGAUGAGCCCGCGUAGGAUUAGCUUGUUGGUGAGGUAAAAGCUCACCAAGGCGACGAUCCUUAGCUGGUCUGAGAGGAUGAUCAGCCACACUGGGACUGAGACACGGCCCAGACUCCUACGGGAGGCAGCAGUGGGGAAUAUUGGACAAUGGGCGAAAGCCUGAUCCAGCAAUGCCGCGUGAGUGAUGAAGGCCUUAGGGUUGUAAAGCUCUUUACCCGGGAUGAUAAUGACAGUACCGGGAGAAUAAGCCCCGGCUAACUCCGUGCCAGCAGCCGCGGUAAU